AGGGGGGNCCCCCWWAGAAUACUCAAGCUAUGCAUCCAACGCGUUGGGAGCUCUCCCAUAUGGUCGACCUGCAGGCGGCCGCACUAGUGAUUACGGGGAGCAGCAGGCGCGAAGCCUUUACACUGCACGACAGUGCGAUAAGGGGACCCCGAGUGCGAGGGCAUACAGUCCUCGCUUUUCGUGACCGUAAGGAGGUCACAGAAUAAGUGCUGGGCAAGACCGGUGCCAGCCGCCGCGGUAAUACCGGCAGCUCGAGUGAUAGCCACUUUUAUUGGGCCUAAAGCGUCCGUAGCCGGCCGAACAGGUCCGUCGGGAAAUCCACCCGCUCAACGGGUGGACGUCCGGCGGAAACCAGUCGGCUUGGGGCCGGGAGACCAGAGAGGUACGUCCGGGGUAGGAGUGAAAUCCUGUAAUCCUGGACGGACCACCGGUAGCGAAAGCGUCUCUGGAGAACGGACCCGACGGUGAGGGACGAAAGCUUGGGUCUCGAACCGGAUUAGAUACCCGGGUAGUCCAAGCCGUAAACGAUGCUCGCUAGGUGUGGCGCAGGCUACGAGCCUGCGCUGUGCCGUAGGGAAGCCGAGAAGCGAGCCGCCUGGGAAGUACGUCCGCAAGGAUGAAACUUAAAGGAAUUGGCGGGGGAGCACAAUCCCGCGGCCAUGGCGGCCGGGAGCAUGCGACGUCGGCCCA
rnacentral:rRNA from 1 species